ACGGUGUCCUUCUCCUUCUCUUCUCAACUUUUUCCACGCUGUUCUAUUAACGAAGACAGGUGUUUGGCAGGAACCAAUGGGAUGCUUGGGGCAGGUGUUCCUGUAGAUACAGGAAUGCCCACAUGCAGGAACACCCCUAAAUUGCAGGCUGCAGUUGCACACUAAUUGUACUGGCUCGGUGAGAGGUUUGCGCUGCUCGAAUAUAAAAUUAAGUAUAUAUUUUUUUAAGAUGUAUAUUUCGCGCACAACAUAUGCCAAUAACGUUAUAUUAGUUUGAGUAUAAGUACCCGGGACUAUUUCACGUUCACGCAAGCCUACAUCUGAAAGAGACAUGAUGAGAGACCUUGCAUGAAAUUAGAGGAUCUGCUUGAAUAAAGAUGGAGCAUGGCGGUGUCUAUCCAAACAGUGUCUAUCCAAACAGUGUCUAUCCAAACAGUGUCUAUGCAGUGUCCUUUGCUUGGACCCGGAUGGUUAAGAGGAUGUAAACAGACAGCAGCUGCCAAACUAACCUGGAUUCAGAUGACCAUCCUACCCAUGCUAGAUUACGGAG